GAGCACGUAGGUGGGUUUGUCGCGUCGUCUGUGAAAUUCCGGGGCUUAACUCCGGGCGUGCAGGCGAUACGGGCAUAACUUGAGUACUGUAGGGGUUACUGGAGUUCCUGGUGUAGCGGUGAAAUGCGCAGAUAUCAGGAGGAACACCGAUGGCGAAGGCAGGUUACUGGGCAGUUACUGACGCUGAGGAGCGAAAGCAUGGGUAGCGAACAGGAUUAGAUACCCUGGUAGUCCAUGCCGUAAACGGUGGGCACUAAGUAGAGGGG
rnacentral:rRNA from 1 species